rnacentral:lncRNA from 1 species
AUGGAUUUAUUUAUCAGUGAAAUACUUCAUUUACUCAUAAAGUUCACAGUAAACGUCACUUAUUGUAUACUCACUGGAUUCUCCUUCUGUGUUUCAGUUUUGUUGGAACCUGUGACAGAAAUCGGUGGUUUGCUUCUGAAACCAGUUCUGUCUGGACCCAGUGAGGCCUAUGUGAGAUCUGAAGUUCAGUUUGACUGUGCAGUUCCAGGCUGGUCUUCACCCCUGACCUUUGAACUCCGGAAGGAUGCAGGGGACCUUAUUGCAGCAGAAAACAACGUCAAAGUCACCUUCACCCUACAGGUCACCGAGGGGUCAGAGGGCGAGUACUACUGCAGACUGACCGCCGGAGGUCAAACCAGCAACUCGAUCCACUUCCAAGCAGUGAUUCCUGUCAUAGGAGCCCAAUUGAGCUCAGAUCCCGAUCCAGCGAUCAUCUAUGAAGGACAGAAGCUUGUCCUGCGCUGUCUCGUCAGGAAGGGGACGCAUCUGUCCUUCACAUGGUACCACAACACACAGGAAUUGGACUCCUCUUCAGAGCUCCACCGGCUCUCUGGAGACGCUCUCACGGUGGACGGGGCGACUGAAAUGCAUGCUGGGAUAUACUCAUGCACCGCUCAAAACCAGAUGACGGUCAACCCCAGAUUCUCCAGCAGCCGAAACCUCCUCGUCACGGUCAAAAAGCACAUCUCUGUGCCCUCGUUAUCGUUUACGGUCUUCUCUAACGGCUCCGGCCUAACAGCCAACAUCAGCUGCCGUUCUGAGCGCGGAUCUGCGCCCGUGACGUUCAGACUGAUGUUGGACGGACUGGAGCUGGAUGUGAAGCGAGAGGAUUCACUGGAGUCCUGGUUCGUUCUGCCGGUCUCUGUGGGUCUGGAUCUGGGAGUCGCUCAAUGUGAAGCACAAACAGAAACACAGCAGCUGCUGUCGGAUCCCGUGCGUUUACUCGUAGUUUCAGUAGGUGGCGCUGUGCGUGUCACAGUAACGUACCUCUACGACGCCGACGGGACGGUGGCAGCCGCUCGGCUCAAAUGCGUCCCAGACAGAGGAACGUUUCCCACAUUCUCCUGGUGUCUGAACCGUUCCUCCCUUCCAGCAGAGGGCGCUGCUCAUGCGGUCACUCAUCACGGUCAGAUCUUGAUCCUCACAGAAGUCAGUGCUGGGUUUUACGGCUGCAGGGUGAGGGACAGUUUUAACGACAGCUCAGUCUGGGUGUUGAGCGAGGACAUCUUUAUUCAGAAGACAGAUUUGGCAGCGACGCCCAUAGAGGUGAUUGCGUUGGUCUUCUGUGGUUUUCUGUCGAUUGUGAUUGUGUUAUGCUCAUUCUUUAUGUUCUGGAGCACCAAGAACAGAAACAACACCUGCAAACAUCACAGUAACCAGGACGUGAUCCAGUCUGAGAUGAUAACAAUGGACGUUCCUGUAGCUGAUGUUUCCUCUGAACCCCAACCUGUGGAAAUGAAAACCGUCAUCAGGGAGUUUGAGGCCUAGAGGUCUAGACCAGACCAGACCUGGAGCCAGUGUCCUGCAGAGAGUCUACUAAUCCUAAACACUUUGAUUAGCUGGUUCAGGUGUGUUUAAUUAAGGUUAAAGAUGAACUCUGACUGGACAUCAAUCACUACUGUUUUCUAUCAAUGAGAUUGUAAGGCUUGUAUAUACCAAAUAAAUGUUUAAUUUACCAAAUGCUUUUACUGAAUAUGCUUCUAUAGAGACAGAUUCCUAAUGAAAACAUCUCUCAUAAGGCAGUUUUUAUAUUUAAUUAUAUAGUCAUGUUCAUAUUUCGUUGUUUAAAUAUAAUCCUCUAAACAGUAGCUGUCAUAAAAACUUUGAUUUAUUCAAACAUAAGUUAAAUAAUGAAGCCGUUGCAUAAAAAAUCCAUUGAAUGUGUUAUAGAAUGAAUAAAAUGCUCCUCUCUAGAGCUGAAUAUGGAGUUUAUGCUCACUGAAGUGUUUUUCCGAAUGUGAAUGUUAUUGUUUACAAGCUGUUACUUACCUCUUGAAACACUGUUUGAAUGAUUACAUGAGAUAUGAUUUAUUUCUGUGAGUUGUUCUGUUUCCUUCAAUAUACCUUCUGAUGAUUGUUCAUGUUUAUUUUGUGUUAUAACUAGUAGUAAAGCCGAAGAGAUGAUGAUCGGUUGAGGCUACAGCGGUCUCAUGCCAAAAUGGCAUUUCCUGUUUGAAUUUCUUAAUCAGUUUGAUAGAAUUUUGAUGGAAUUUAGAUCUUGAGAUUUAAGAAUUGAUAUUAAGAUUAAUCGAUGAAUUUAUAUAACCGUUAACCAAGCCCUCAGUUUAUGUUGGGAUUUUUUACAACUUUACACUUUGCGCUGUUGCCAAACUCGGUGUACUGAACCGAGGUCACAUACUAAGUUUUAAUAAUAUGUCAAGAAGAGACUUACGUAUUUGGUGUUUUGCCAGUUUUGUUGGUGCAUAAAAGAAAAAUGAUUUUAAAAUACCAAAAGCAGCUUUUGUCCAGCAUAGAUACCUGACCAAACCUGGAGGAAUCUGAAAAAAAAACUAAAAAAAAAAAAAAAAAAAAAACGUUAGAACUAAAUUAGUUAAAAUAAAUUAAUAAAUAAUAGAGUCAUGAUUUAUAACUUUCCCAUACUAGAAAAUGUUCCCUAGCAUAGAUACUGAACCAACUGGAAGAAUCAGAAAAAACUAAAAAAAAAAAAAAAAAACGUUUAAGAACUAAAUUGUUUAAAAUAAAUUAUAAAUAAUAGAGUCAUGAUUUAUAAUUUCCCCAUACUGAAAAUGUUCAUCUCACUAUACAACUGACUAAACUUUACCAAAUGUCUUAUACAACAAUGUUUGACAGACAUUAAUGAACAAACACACACUCAGGCUGCAUUGGUGCAGUAACACUUAUAAUGACGUAUAUUGAUUAUAUGAGUGCAGUGCAUUGGUCAUUUAUGUAGAUGUUCUCUACAAUCCUCCAUGCCAAUCUUGAGUUGUCAUUUGCGCUGGCAUCUGCCCUAUCUGUCCUCAACACAUGUGCUGUUUAGGGUGGGUCUCACUGAGUCCGUGUCAACCUGCUUUCACUGCUCCAUUAAUAAUGAAGUUCUUCUCUGGAUAUUGUGCUCAUUUCUUCAGCAAGGAUGGAAUCGAGGCAUACACACUUAUUCUCAUAGGUGGAGGAAACUUGUGCAUUUCUGAUAGAUGUUUUCAUGUGUUGUCUGUUGAAGUCUGUUUCAUAUGCACUUAUUAUUUUUCACCAGGUAUUUCAGUUUUGCAUCCAAGGAUGGGUAAGUGACUUUCUUGCCAUGUUUAUUUGGGGUUUUAUAGAUAAUUAAAAGUUAAAUAAAUACUGAUAUGUUUAACACCCUCAGAAAGUGGAAUGGUCAAGGGUUCAAUGGUCAAUUCCCGGGGAAUGUGUGUGAACUGAUAAAAAAAAAAAAAAUCAAUAUCAAUUUGGGUAAAAGCAUCUGCCAAAAUAUGCAUCACUGUAAAUGUGUUGUUCACACAAGUCAGUAAUGUUGUUGCAUCAUGGCACAGCAUGAAGUCAGUUCUCCACAAUCUCAUUAACACGACCAACUAACCACAAACAAAUUAAAUACUGUCUUCCUCUUCAACACAUCUACUUGAUCUCGCAUUUCAAACCCAAACUUCUGUCUGUUAAAAGUUUUGCAUGUAGAAAGCGUAUGUGCAUUCUUAUUUCAAAUAAAUGACACUUGUUUUGAUGUUUAAUGCAGUAGCAUUUUUAAGCAUGUGCUUAAUGUCCAAAAACAUGUAGAGCAACUGGGUCUGUCUUCAAUACAUUUUCUGUUGCAGAUGCUCUAGAAAAGCUUGAUGAACCGGUUCUGUCAGGUCCGUCUGCUGCAUCAGAAGGUUCAGUUGUGGAUUUCUUCUGUGAUAUUCCUGGGAAACCAGCAGCAUUGUCUGUACACUAAGAGCUCUAUGUUGAGUCAAACCAGGGUGAGAUGAUUGGGGAGUGCUCCUCGCUCUCUGGAGAAAAAGCCACUAUUUCUCAGGUUAUCAGAAAACAACAUGACGCUAGACUCAUCUACAAGGCCAGCGGACACAAUAACACUCAGAGUCAUUGGUGAGGUGUGUGACAUGAGUGUAAUCAUAUUAAGCAAUUUCUGUCCUCUAAAUGAUCAACAUGAUCAAACUUAGCUUUUGCACACAAUCUCCUCAUGUCUUCUGUCUCUGAUUGAUAGUUUAGAGUGUUUUAUCCAGUAAAAGCUCUUUUAGUGUAAUCUGCUUCAGCUACUGCUUCUGGUGUCAGAUCUUGAGUGAUUUUGAUCAAGUAAAGGUCAGAAUAACUGCAGUAAUAUCUCCAGAUGAACUCUUACUGGACUGAAGCAGCUCAGCUUUACUUGAUUCUCCAUCAAUCAUGUUUUAGAGUCUCAAAUCUGAUCAUCAGGAUCUUUUGAGGAGCGUUUGUUUCCUAGAAGCUUUACUUUCACUGUUCCUCAGCGGAGGAAUGAUCUUCACAAGCCUCCAGAACAUCUCACAUCUUCUGAGGAGCCUUUAUUCUUCAUCUCUCAAUCUCAAAAUUUCGUCACAGAGAUAUCAGCAUCUGCAGCAAAUUCAUAUUUUUGAAUUUGUUUGAGUCUCUGAAUAAAAUUGGGGUUGUUUUUUCCUUCAUAUUCUCACUGUAUCAGACUAUAUGAGCUGUAAAAGCCUGAUGGAUCAAAUAUGAUCUGUGAUUUGCAGUUCCAGUGGGGGAAGUUUGAAGAAACUUUUGAUUUCUUCUGUAUGUCGAGAGUAUUUUCUGAUUUAUGGAGUGAUAAUUUGCUUCCAUAACUUGUCUAUCAUAUGUAAAGAAACAUCCAAAUUACAAUUAAAGUGUUUAUUACACUUUUCUCUACACUACUUAAAAAUAAAGGUGACUUUAAAAUCUUCUUCCCAGCA